rnacentral:rRNA from 1 species
UACGUAGGGCGCAAGCGUUGUCCGGAAUUAUUGGGCGUAAAGAGCUCGUAGGCGGCCAGUUGCGUCCGCUGUGAAAUCCCGGGGCUUAACCCCGGGCGUGCAGUGGAUACGGGCUGGCUAGAGGCAGGCAGGGGAGAACGGAAUUCCCGGUGUAGCGGUGAAAUGCGCAGAUAUCGGGAGGAACACCGGUGGCGAAGGCGGUUCUCUGGGCCUGUAUUGACGCUGAUGGACGAAAGCGUGGGGAGCGAACAGG